rnacentral:lncRNA from 1 species
UAUGUAUAACUAAAAAGACAUAUUCAUUGAUAUCUCUUGAACUCUUAAGGCAGUGCUAAUUUUCUUUUAUGAACUUUUAUUUUAGCUAAUCACUAUCAACUUUUAUAAUUAGCGAAAUCUCCUCUUAUCUUAGAUUUUUAAAUUGUCCAUCCAACUUUUCUUCCAUCCUUGUGAAGUGUUGUUUCACAUGAAAAAGUUGUAAAGGUAAACGAGUCAUUUUGUCUCACUAAUACCUAUACCGGCAACCUUUCUUCCCUUCAAUUAUCACAAUAAACUUUAUAAUUAGGCAAAUCUCCCUCACCGUUAGAUUUUUGAAUUUUCUAUUCAACAUUUUGGCCUUAUCAUGUGUUGUCCAUGUGAAAAACUUAUAAAGAAAAAAAAAAUCAUUUUGUCUCUCACUAACACUUAUCCUCAACCAAUUCUACUUUUUCUCGCUUCAGUCUAACUCUUAGUGAAGGACAAAAUGACCUGUUUACCCUCAUAGGUUUCCCACAUGGACAACACUUGGCUAAGAUGGAAGAAAGAUGGACAAUUCAUAUUAUUAUCAGUGGGUAAUUAGAUAAAAUAGAAACGGAAGAUGAAAUUGGCAGUGCCCUUGCAAGUCUAGAAAAAAAAAGGCAAAUACUUAUAAAAAAAAAAAAAAAAAACUUUAACGAAAAG